UAAAGUGCACAUAAAAAUCCAUGAUAAGCAGGUGAGACGAGAGUGUUUGAGUCAUCUCUUGAAAAUUAAGAUUUUCCUUAAUAAGUCUGUGCUCAUUAGCUUGGUGGCCGUAUGACGUACAGAUGCAUCUGAGUUAUUUCCUUCAUCAAGGUAGAUGAACCGGAGCCAUCAAUGUCUUUGAACUGCGUCCACUGCCAAAUACUUUCUGAAUCCACAAAAUUGUGCAAGUGUUUUUUAUAAGAGUACGGUAAUGUAAUUAACCUGUUUAGAGCCUUACCAAUAUUUUUGUACAUUAAAUUCUUUUCAAGGAAAGUUGGGUCAAAUAUGAUGUAUACUAAUGGAAUUUCCAUAAUUCCUUUCGUUGAGGUGAUAGAAUUGCAUUGAUAAAAUUUGAUUUGAUUUUUUCUCUUAAAUGAGGAGGUGCUACCUUGUGUUCAAUGCCAGGGGAUGCCAGGAUGAAUUCAGGCGGCUUUUUAGGUAAACUAAGCUUUUGAAACAAGGAAUAGAAAAUAUGGCUCCUUUUUGCCUAUGAUGGAAACAACGCAUAGUGAGUGAGACCAGGAUUUUUUGCCCCAC
rnacentral:lncRNA from 1 species